UAGUGCCUGGUCCGAGAUGGGGUCCCAGGUCUCGAUGGAUGCGGGAGCCGUGCAUGUUGUGAUUGUGGGCGGGGGCUUUGGUGGCAUCGCGGCCGCCAGCCAGCUGCAGGCACUGAACAUCCCUUUUGUGCUGGUGGACAUGAAGGACUCCUUCCACCACAACGUGGCAGCCCUCCGGGCCUCCGUGGAGAGUGGUAAGGGGCCCCUCUCUGGGGCUUUCUUUGUGACAGUGGCCUAUUCACCACUGUGGGUCAGAGGGUGGUUUUCUCCCUUUACGGCAAGGUGCCUAAAUUCCACCAUUGACAGGUUCUGGGGAAUCCUAAGUCCCUGCCCUUAAGCAGCUACCACAUGAAGGCCCCAGAAGUCAGAGUGUGAGCUUCCUUAAGGACCUAGGGCUCAGACUGGGUGCUCUAGGGUGUAGUGGCUACCCAGGGGUCGUUUAACCGGCGGUGUCACUGUUGGCAUGCAGCUCAGGAUGGGUUCUGAGUUAUUCUGGCCUCCUGUGGGCAGCCCAGCUUUAUACUGCAACCUCCUUCCUAUCCAUUCCCCAGGGUUUGCCAAAAAGACAUUCAUUUCCUACUCGGUGACCUUCAAGGAAAACUUCAGGCAGGGCCUGGUGGUCGAGAUAGACCUGAAGAAUCAGACAGUGCUGCUGGAGGAUGGCCAGGCCCUACCCUUUUCACAUCUCAUCCUGGCCACAGGCAGCACUGGGCUCUUCCCAGGGAAGUUUAACCAGGUUUCCAGCCAGCAGAUGGCCAUCCAGGCCUAUGAGAACAUGGUGACGCAGGUUCAGCGCUCACAGUCCAUUGUGGUGGUGGGAGGAGGCUCUGCAGGAGUGGAGAUGGCAGCAGAGAUUAAAACGGAAUACCCCGAGAAAGAGGUCACUCUCAUUCACUCCCAGAUGGCCCUCGCAGACACAGAGCUCCUGCCCUGUGUCCGGCAGGAAGUGAAGGAGAUCUUGCUCCGGAAAGGUGUGCAGCUGCUGCUGAGUGAGCGGGUGAGCAACCUGGAGGCGCUGCCUGUCAAUGAGCAUUGUGAGUGCAUCAAGGUGCAGACGGACAAAGGCACGGAGGUGGACGCCAACCUGGUGAUUGUCUGCAACGGUAUCAAGAUCAACAGUGCAGCCUACCGCAGCACGUUUGGUGACCGGCUGGCCGGCAACGGUGCUCUGAAAGUAAACGAGUACCUCCAGGUGGAAGGUUACAGCCACAUCUAUGCCAUCGGAGACUGCGCCGACGUGAGGGAGCCCAAGAUGGCCUAUCACGCCGGCCUCCACGCCAACGUCGCUGUGGCCAACAUUGUCAACUCCAUGAAACAGAGGCCCCUCAAAACCUACAAGCCAGGCUGUGGCCCAAGUCUGUUCCAUGCUGUUGCCCAUGCCUUAGAGAGACUGUGCCUCUCUCCCAAAGAAUGGCCACCCCAUGGAGGCUUCACCCAGGCCUCCAUUCCUGCGGACCACAACCAACCAGGCUCCCUUCCUGCAAGCGGGACCUGCUGCCUGAGAAACACAAGCCAUUGCGUGCCGUCUGCCCUGGGGCCUGGCAUGGUGGGAGCCUCUGUCCUGUAG
rnacentral:lncRNA from 1 species